rnacentral:rRNA from 1 species
CCUACGGGUGGCUGCAGUGAGGAAUAUUGGUCAAUGGGCGAAAGUCUGAACCAGCCAUGCCGCGUGCAGGAAGACGGCUCUAUGAGUUGUAAACUGCUUUUGUACAGGGGUAAACCUGAGUACGUGUAUUCAUCUGCACGUACUUUACGAAUAAGGAUCGGCUAACUCCGUGCCAGCAGCCGCGGUAAUACGGAGGAUCCGAGCGUUAUCCGGAUUUAUUGGGUUUAAAGGGUGCGUAGGCGGAUUGAUAAGUUAGAGGUGAAAUGUCCGAGCUCAACUCGGGAACUGCCUCUAAUACUGUUGAACUAGAGAGUAGAUGCGGUAGGCGGAAUGUAUGGUGUAGCGGUGAAAUGCUUAGAUAUCAUACAGAACACCGAUUGCGAAGGCAGCUUACCAAUCUAUAUCUGACGUUGAGGCACGAAAGCGUGGGGAGCAAACAGGAUUAGAUACCCGAGUAGUC